rnacentral:rRNA from 1 species
GGCGGCGUGCCUAACACAUUCAAGUACGAACGGAAUGUGAAAUGCUUGCAUUCACAUUAGUGGCGGACGGGUGAGUAACGCGUGAGCAACCUACCUAAAUGAGCGGAACAACUCCUGGAAACGGGAGCUAAUACCGCAUAACAUAGUGAUAUCACAUGGUAACAUUAUCAAAGGAGCAAUCCGCAUAUAGAUGGGCUCGCGUCUGAUUAGCUAGUUGGUGGAGUAACGGAUCACCAAGGCAACGAUCAGUAGCCGGACUGAGAGGUUGACCGGCCACAUUGGAACUGAGAAACGGUCCAGACUCCUACGGGAGGCAGCAGUGGGGAAUAUUGGGCAAUGGGCGAGAGCCUGACCCAGCGAACCGCCGCGUGAAGGAAGAAGGUCUUCGGAUUGUAAACUUCUUUUGUGAGGGAAGAAAGAUGGGGUAGAACUCCAUCGUGACGGUACCUCAAGAAAAAGCCACGGCUAACUACGUGCCAGCAGCAGC